rnacentral:rRNA from 1 species
AUUGAACGCUGGCGGCAUGCUUUACACAUGCAAGUCGAACGGCAGCACGGGGCAACCUGGUGGCGAGUGGCGAACGGGUGAGUAAUGUAUCGGAACAUGUCCGGAAGUGGGGGAUAACGUAGCGAAAGUUACGCUAAUACCGCAUAUGCCCUAAGGGGGAAAGGGGGGGAUCGCAAGACCUCUCGCUUUCGGAGUGGCCGAUAUCAGAUUAGCUAGUUGGUGGGGUAAAGGCCUACCAAGGCAACGAUCUGUAGCUGGUCUGAGAGGAUGAUCCGUCACACUGGAACUGAGACACGGUCCAGACUCCUACGGGAGGCAGCAGUGGGGAAUUUUGGACAAUGGGGGCAACCCUGAUCCAGCCAUUCCGCGUGAGUGAAGAAGGCCUUCGGGUUGUAAAGCUCUUUCAGCCGGAACGAAACGGUACGCCUUAAUACGGUGUGCUAAUGACCGUACCGGCAGAAGAAGCACCGGCUAACUACGUGCCAGCAGCCGCGGUAAUACGUAGGGUGCGAGCGUUAAUCGGAAUUACUGGGCGUAAAGCGUGCGCAGGCGGAUUGUUAAGCAAGAUGUGAAAUCCCCGGGCUUAACCUGGGAAUGGCAUUUGUGACUGCAAGACUAGAGUACGGCAGAGGGGGGUAGAAUUCCACGUGUAGCAGUGAAAUGCGUAGAUAUGUGGAGGAAUACCGAUGGCGAAGGCAGCCCCCUGGGAUAACACUGACGCUCAUGUACGAAAGCGUGGGUAGCAAACAGGAUUAGAUACCCUGGUAGUCCACGCCCUAAACGAUGUCAACUAGGUGUUGGGGGAGGAGACUCUCUUAGUACCGCAGCUAACGCGUGAAGUUGACCGCCUGGGGAGUACGGCCGCAAGGUUG